AUUGAACGCUGGCGGCAUGCCUUACACAUGCAAGUCGAACGGCAGCACGGAGCUUGCUCUGGUGGCGAGUGGCGAACGGGUGAGUAAUAUAUCGGAACGUACCCUAGAGUGGGGGAUAACGUAGCGAAAGUUACGCUAAUACCGCAUACGAUCUAAGGAUGAAAGUGGGGGAUCGCAAGACCUCAUGCUCGUGGAGCGGCCGAUAUCUGAUUAGCUAGUUGGUAGGGUAAAAGCCUACCAAGGCAUCGAUCAGUAGCUGGUCUGAGAGGACGGCCAGCCACACUGGAACUGAGACACGGUCCGG
rnacentral:rRNA from 1 species